rnacentral:rRNA from 1 species
AUGUCGAGGAUGGGCGUUCGAGGCGGCGGGGACGCGGGGGCUCUGGGGUGCAAGAUGGUCGGCGGCGGGAGCGACGGCACGCUCGACGUGUGCACGCGCGUCUGCAUCGUCGACGAGCAGGAGGCCAUCCUCUACGAGAGCUUCAUGAAGCCCCUCAUCCCUGUGACGCACUACCGGUACGAGACCACGGGGAUCCGGCCCGAGCACCUCCGCGACGCGCCCAUGGUGAAGCAGGCGAUCAGGCGGGUGCAGGACAUCCUCCUCAAUGGCGAGCAGUCCUACCCCUACUCCUCCCGCGGCGCGGCCCGGCUCCUCGUCGGCCACGGACUAGAGCACGACCUCGACACGCUGGACAUGGACUACCCAGCCCACCUCAGGCGGGACACGGCGACGUACCCGCCGCUGAUGAAGACGAGCGCCAGGCUCAUGAGCAACUCGGUCCGGUAUCUCACGCGGAGCUGCCUGGGGUAUGACAUACAGACCGGCGGCCACCAUCACCCCUACGACGACUGCGUGGCCGCCAUGCGGCUGUACAGGAGGAUGCGCGCCAUGAGCCACCUGCACCUGCACGGCCGUCCCAAGGACGACGAGGAUGAGUCCACGGUCAAGGCCUUCCCGGCGUGGAGGCAGCGAGAGCUGGAGCGCAUGUCGCCGGAGGAGCUCCUGGCGAUGUCCAAGCCCGACUACCAAUGUUGGUGCCUCGAAGACGUCCGGCGAUGCUAA